rnacentral:rRNA from 1 species
UUGACCUCGGAUCAGGUAGGACUACCCGCUGAACUUAAGCAUAUCAAUAAGCGGAGGAAAAGAAACCAACANGGGAUUGCCCCAGUAACGGCGAGUGAAGCGGCAACAGCUCAAAUUUGAAAUCUGGCUUCGGCCCGAGUUGUAAUUUGGAGAGGAUGCUUUGGGCGCGGCGCCUUCCGAGUUCCUUGGAACAGGACGCCAGAGAGGGUGAGAGCCCCGUACGGUUGGACUCCAAGCCUAUGUAAAGCUCCUUCGACGAGUCGAGUAGUUUGGGAAUGCUGCUCAAAAUGGGAGGUAAAUUUCUUCUAAAGCUAAAUACCGGCCAGAGACCGAUAGCGCACAAGUAGAGUGAUCGAAAGAUGAAAAGCACUUUGAAAAGAGGGUUAAACAGUACGUGAAAUUGUUGAAAGGGAAGCGCCUAUGACCAGACUUGCGCCCCGCGAACCACCCGGCGUUCUCGCCGGUGCACUUCGCGGGAUGCAGGCCAGCAUCGGUUUUCUUAGGGGGAUAAAGGCCGCGGGAACGUAGCUCUUUCGGGAGUGUUAUAGCCCGUGGUGUCAUGCCCUUGAGGGGACCGAGGACCGCGCUUCGGCAAGGAUGCUGGCGUAAUGGUCAUCAGCGACCCGUCUUGAAACACGGACCAAGGAGUCAAGCAUUAGGGCGAGUGUUUGGGUGACAAACCCGCACGCGAAAUGAAAGUAAACGCAGGUGAGAGCUUCGGCGCAUCAUCGACCGAUCCUGAUGUAUUCGGAUGGAUUUGAGUAAGAGCCUUACCGCUUGGACCCGAAAGAUGGUGAACUAUGCCUGUAUAGGGUGAAGCCAGAGGAAACUCUGGUGGAGGCUCGCAGCGGUUCUGACGUGCAAAUCGAUCGUCAAAUAUGGGCAUGGGGGCGAAAGACUAAUCGAACCAUCUAGUAGCUGGUUACCGCCG